rnacentral:rRNA from 1 species
GCGUGAAUGAAGAAGGCCUUAGGGUUGUAAAGUUCUUUCACCGGGGAAGAUGAUGACGGUACCCGGAGAAGAAGCCCCGGCUAACUCCGUGCCAGCAGCCGCGGUAAUACGGAGGGGGCUAGCGUUGUUCGGAUUUACUGGGCGUAAAGCGCGCGUAGGCGGCGUAUCCAGUCAGAGGUGAAAGGCCUGGGCUCAACCCGGGAACUGCCUUUGAUACUGAUAUGCUUGAGUCCGGGAGAGGGUAGUGGAAUUCCGAGUGUAGAGGUGAAAUUCGU